rnacentral:ncRNA from 1 species
GGGCGGUAUCGUUGUUGAACUGCACCCGUAUAAAGACACUCAACAAUUGCAUAGUUCUGCCUUGAUCUUACAUCGACAGGGACGGAG